rnacentral:lncRNA from 1 species
ACGAUUGUGAGUUUUGUUUCACGGAUUGGGAAGCAGUCUAAGAAAGGUCAAGGGAUUUGGUAAAGAAUGCACCACUCAUUUCACUGUGAACUACGGUAUUUGACCCUAAGAUCAAGGUGCUAGAGGGAAACUGUCUGUUUUACGGCCUGGGUUUCCUGUGGAUAGCUACUACUCAGCCCUGGGUGAUGCUGUCUCAAAACAGAAACUAGCUGGAUCUCACCAGAGACUGCCUGCAAAGAAUCUAGGCUACAUUUUUGGGGUUUGGAGGAUGCUUCAUGCCUCAAGUAGAGAAGAAGUGAUCCCAGAAGUGUUUCCUCCACCAAGAACAACAAGGGAAGAUUUACUAGUGUGCUGCUGGCAGGUUUGAGGACCAGGUUUGUGUAUUUUGUGUUGU